UAGGGAAUCUUCCGCAAUGGACGAAAGUCUGACGGAGCAACGCCGCGUGAGUGAAGAAGGCUUUCGGUUCGUAAAACUCUGUUGUUAGGGAAGAAAAAAUGUAUAGUAACUAUAUACAAAAGAGACGGUACCUAACCAGAAAGCCACGGCUAACUACGUGCCAGCAGCCGCGGUAAUACGUAGGUGGCAAGCGUUGUCCGGAAUUAUUGGGCGUAAAGCGCGCGCAGGUGGUUUAGAAAGUCUGAUGUGAAAGCCCACGGCUCAACCGUGGAGGGUCAUUGGAAACUAAUAAACUUGAGUGCAGGAGAGAAAAGUGGAAUUCCUAGUGUAGCGGUGAAAUGCGUAGAGAGUAGGAGGAACACCGGUGGCGAAAGCGGCUUUUUGGCCUGCAACUGACACUGAGGCGCGAAAGCGUGGGGAGCAAACAGG
rnacentral:rRNA from 1 species